rnacentral:rRNA from 1 species
UACGUAGGGGGCUAGCGUUGUCCGGAAUCAUUGGGCGUAAAGCGCGCGUAGGCGGCCCGGUAAGUCCGCUGUGAAAGUCAAAGGCUCAACCUUUGAAUGUCAGCGGAUACUGCCGGGCUAGAGUCCGGAAGAGGCGAGUGGAACUCCUGGUGUAGCGGUGAAAUGCGUAGAUAUCUGGAGGAAUACCGGUGGCGAAGGCGGCAUCCUGGACCGAGAUUGACACUGAUGAGCGAAAGCUAGGGGAGCAAACGGG